rnacentral:lncRNA from 1 species
CUGGGAUUGCUGCAGAACUUUGGUGAAUGUAGUGGGAGGGUCUUCUUUUGGAUGUCGAUCCUUUAAGAAAGGGAAGAAGAAUAAGAAGAACAAGAAAAGAGUGCAAAGUGUCAGGGCACCCAAACCCAGUCAAACCAAGAAACUCAAGUCUGAUCAGAGUCAGGAGGAAUACUUUUAUUGCAAGAAGAAGAGGCACUGAAAGAGAAAUUAUCCUUAGUACAUUGCCU